GCCAGAUCCGGGCACCACGCGAAGCCUCAUUUUCCCCGAAUCCCGUCGGCGGGGGACGGGAGUGGGGUAGUUGGGAGAGGGCGCCGGACUGAAAGUCCCACCCGGCGUGGGGGCUGGUGUGCAGAUCGCCGCGGGAGAGAAGCGGAGUGAAAGGGAAGCAAUGCAGAAGUCAGAGUGCCAUGGAGGCAUACAGUUGAGAAACAGAAAGGCAGGUAGCUGUGAUCAAAGGACAUCAUCAAGCAUACAGAUAAAACAUAGGACUACAAUUCAACAAAGCAACUCCUCAUCAUCAACCAGUUCUCCAGAGACUGCAAGAAAACUUCAUCCUCGACCAAGUGAUAAACUUAACCCUAAGACCAUUAACCCAUUUGGUGAACAGUCACGAGCUCCUUCCGCAUUUGCAGCCAUUUACUCUAAAGGAGGUAUUCCUUGCAGAUUGGUCCAUGGUUCAGUGAAACACAGAUUACAGUGGGAAUGUCCUCCUGAAAAUCUUCCAUUUGAUCCUCUUCUUAUUACUUUAGCUGAGGGUUUGAGAGAGACGAAACAUCCGUACACCUUUGUGUCAAAGGAGGGUUUUAGAGAAUUACUCUUGGUCCAAGGCGCUCCUGAGAAAGCUGUACCUUUGCUUCCGAGACUGAUUCCUGUGCUAAAGGCAGCUCUGGUCCACCUGGAUGAUGAAGUGUUUGCAAGAGGACUGAAUGCUCUCGUGCAGCUGAGUGUCGUCGUUGGUCCUUCUCUAAAUGACCAUCUGAAACAUCUGCUUACAAGUCUUUCCAAGAGACUGAGAGAUAAGAAAUUCAAAGAGCCAAUUACCAGUGCAUUACAGAAGCUGGAGCAGCAUGGUGGAAAUUCAUAGGCAUGUCUGUCUUUGAAAACGUGCAUACCUGGACACACCUCCAUCUUGAUUGAGCACGUGGGAAGUUUUUGCAUGUCAGGGACUCAGGAAGCCUUAUCGUCAUCAAAUCUAAAAUUCCAACAUAUUGCUCCAUAUGCUGUUGAAGAAGGGAGCCCACAAAAAUCUUGUUACUCCUGGUGACAGGUGUUAAAUGCUGACCAUGGGUACCUAGGGAACCUUUUCAGAUUCACUUCCUUUUAUUCUUUUGUCAAUCACAGCCACCAUUCAUUAUUUCCUGGAUUAAGAUGAGUAUACACAGUUCCACUGAAUCAUAGUAAAAGUUAUUCAUCAACAACAAAAAAAAGAGCGGUCAAUGAUGGAAAGCUAUUAAAAACAGUUCUAUAAUAGUACAGUUUUGUGGGAUUGGUUUUUCAUAUUUUUACAGUUUGGUGCAAACAACCAUUAUUGGGUUUAUAGUAGAUGUAUUUGUAUUUAUUUUCUAGUGCCUUUUUGGGUGUAUAGUAGAUGUAUUUGUAUUUAUUUUCUAGUGCCUUUUAUAAUUAUAUCCCUUUCACAAUCAGUUUGUAGUUGCGCAUUUAUUUUUAGACGUUUUGUCAUUUCUUGGGUUUGAUAUUUAUCAAGGCUAUGGAAAUUUAAAGUAGUGGACAAACAUUUGUGAAUUCACUGUUAAUUAUUAUCUGUAAAUAUGUAUUUUAUGAUAUAGAGUACUUGGAAAAAUUUCAUACCAGAGUAUCCUAGUUUAAGAUAUUUUUUUAAAUGUGUAAAUUCUCUUGUAAGUAUGUUAUUUAUUACAACUCAUUAAAACUACCUAAAUUUAGGUGUUAAUUAUAUUUAAGUAAAUGUUAUUUUUGUAUCCCAUAGUCUGAAAAUACUGAAGAUACUCAUUUCAUGAAGAUAUUCAGAAAUUAAAAUCUUAAAACUCUUAAAUGUACCCAGUGAUUUUGUUGUGGUGUUUGCUUGUGUUUAACAGUUAAUUUAAUUUAAAAAGCUUU